UUACGGUCACAUCAUCGUUGAAACAGCGGUUCCCAUACGAUCACCGAAGUUAAGUAACGGCGAGUAUCUAGCUGGGUCACCGCUUGGGAAAACCAGGUGCUAUA